UUGUAACACACACUACUGCACCAGCUCUGGUGAUGUGUGGACGUUACUCUCGCUCUCUUGCCUGAGUAUUAUGUACAGGAUUCCCAUUUUAUACAUCAAGGACGUUUGUUUUCAUCUGUUGCCUUCUGCUGAGAAAUGAUCAACUCCUAGGACUAGGAAAUGCCUGAGGUUCUGGCUCAGGGGAGUUGUGUCACAAUCUUUCCCAGGAUGCUACCCACAACUGUCAAGCGACUCCCAGGUGUUUAUGUAAUUAGAGAACGUUACCUGAAGGUAAUUUUGGUGGUCACUACUCCUGUGACCAGGUCCCAGACCUUGUCUUCCAGUUGAUGAUUUGAACAGCCAGGCUGCUGAUGCUAGCUGCACACAGUAUAAAGUAUGCACCAUCGCCUGGCUGAUCAGGAAGAUUUUAAUCCUGAGGGUUAGUAUGCAGGAUAACCAUGAUGCAGCCCACAACACCUGGCUGACACCCAGGUAAGGUGACCCAAAGAAGGAAAUGCAUUCACCAUCAUUUAUUCAAUAGCUGUCUUGACAAAAAUGUGUAGGCAUCACAAUUUGAAUGACCCUCUGAUCUGCAACAUCCUCACCCCUCUUUCAGAGUGCAGACACCGUACUUCCCACCCAGUUUCCCUAAAUCCCUUCAAAAAUAUUACUUUGCUCACAAUAAUAGCAUGUCAAGCCGUAAAAACCACCUGUCUUCACUCACUUUGAUCUAACAUGCUCUCACAGGCAUGCUGUAUGCUCAAGCUCUUAACAUUCAAAACCUCUACUCAUUCCUUCCAACCCUUUUCCAGGAUGACCCCCUACCCCUUCUUCCAUUUUCCUUUAUAAACUGCAGUAUACAGUAAUGUGAAAAUACACAAAUAACUUGCACACAGAAAACAGCUUAUCACGACAUUUCGGUCACUAGCUAAUACGUAGUCAGUUGGGUCAAAAUGUUGUCAUAAGUUUCUGCAAUAAUACACAGAAAUCCUAUGUGCAAGAUAUCUGUGUAUUGUUGCAGCCACAAUAUUGUGCCUUUUUAUUUUCCAUAAUGUGAAAAUAUAUGCACCCUAUUUUUUUUCCUUUGAUAAUUCUGUAUCAUAACCUAACUUUUGUUUGUAAUAUUUGAUUUAGAUCACCAGAGGAUUUCUUAGUUAUGUACAGUAUAAAUAUUUUAACUACUUUAAUCUGUCACUAUCCUCCCCCUUCCUCCAUUACAUUAAUUUUGUAGAAAGUAGGUCAUCACAAGCAGAUAAACCUAACAGUUAAGGAUUUUUUUUUUUUUUUAAACCUAAGGUUACAUUCACUUACCCUUGAGAUCUUUAUCACUGCCACUGUGAAAUCUGUUGAAUAAUCUGUUUUGAUGUAUAGUAUUUUAGCACACUAACUGUGGAAACUAUGAUGCUGCUCAUAAGCAGGAUUAGAUGUAACUAAUUAAACAACAGUAUGGCCAAAUUUUCCAUAAUACUGUACAUAUUUAUAUUGACUCUAAUGUCCCCUGUACCUGCUGCUCAUCUGAUCUUCCUAAGAAGAGUUCUCCUAUUUGUCCUAAAAUAUUUACUACAGGUGGAUCCUCUGUAAUUCAGAAGAAUUCCUCUUGAGUCCCUGUGUCUUACAGAUGAAUUCAAUUAUUCAUUUGCAGAUUUUAUCUAUAUUUCACAGAAAAUUACUGGCCAAACUAGUGUAAAGUGUAUCAAAUACCUGGUCUGGAAGUGGCACCUGUUAUAUUGUAGUAUAUUGGAACCAUGCAGCUGAAGAUCAUACUUCUGACUUUCAUCACAUUGGCACCAGGAGCAUCUCACAUUGGCUCCAGGAGCAUCUCACAUUGGCUCCAAGGGCAUCUCACAUUGGCUCCAGGGGCAUUUCACAUUGGCUCCAGGGGCAUCUCACAUUGGCUCCAGGGGCAUCUCACAUUGGCUCUAGGAGCAUCUCACAUUGGUUCCAGGAACAUCUCACAUUGGCCCCAGGGGCAUCUCACAUUGGCUCCAGGGGCAUCUCACAUUGGCUCCAGGGGCAUCUCACAUUGGCUCCAGGGGCAUCUAACAUUGACUCCAGGGGCAUCUCAUCUGUGAAAGAUCAGAGGCACAAUAAUUCUUCUUCAGUAGCCUCAAAUGACCACAACUUCAGAUGUGGGUGGAUUUUAAGGAUUUUGACAGUAGUGAUGAUUGAACCAGCAUUGCUGAUGCAGCCACGAAUGAGAGAUCAUGGUGCUUCGCCUUUGCUUUUCUUGCAGUGUGUAUCAAGAGAAUUGCCUAUAGUACAUUAUUUUGAUUAUAUCAUUUAUAUUACCUUAAAAUUUAUUUAAAUUAAUUUAUCAAUUUGUUGAUUUUUAUUUUGUAUAUACAGUGGAGUUAAAAGAUAAAGAAUCACACACAAAGUGGGAGUUGUCACAGCUGCUCUUUGCUGAUGACACUGUGCUCUUGGGAGAUUCUGAAGAGAAGUUGCAGAGAUUGGUGGAUGAAUUUGGUAGGGUGUGCAAAAGAAGAAAAUUAAAGGUGAAUACAGGAAAGAGUAAGGUUAUGAGGAUAACAAAAAGAUUAGGUGAUGAAAGAUUGAAUAUCAGAUUGGAGGGAGAGAGUAUGGAGGAGGUGAACGUAUUCAGAUAUUUGGGAGUGGACGUGUCAGCGGAUGGGUCUAUGAAAGAUGAGGUGAAUCAUAGAAUUGAUGAGGGAAAAAGAGUGAGUGGUGCACUUAGGAGUCUGUGGAGACAAAGAACUUUGUCCUUGGAGGCAAAGAGGGGAAUGUAUGAGAGUAUAGUUUUACCAACGCUCUUAUAUGGGUGUGAAGCGUGGGUGAUGAAUGUUGCAGCGAGGAGAAGGCUGGAGGCAGUGGAGAUGUCAUGUCUGAGGGCAAUGUGUGGUGUGAAUAUAAUGCAGAGAAUUCGUAGUUUGGAAGUUAGGAGGAGGUGCGGGAUUACCAAAACUGUUGUCCAGAGGGCUGAGGAAGGGUUGUUGAGGUGGUUCGGACAUGUAGAGAGAAUGGAGCGAAACAGAAUGACUUCAAGAGUGUAUCAGUCUGUAGUGGAAGGAAGGCGGGGUAGGGGUCGGCCUAGGAAAGGUUGGAGGGAGGGGGUAAAGGGGUUUUGUGUGCGAGGGGCUUGGACUUCCAGCAGGCAUGCGUGAGCGUGUUUGAUAGGAGUGAAUGGAGACAAAUGGUUUUUAAUACUUGACGUGCUGUUGGAGUGUGAGCAAAGUAACAUUUAUGAAGGGAUUCAGGGAAACCGGCAGGCCGGACUUGAGUCCUGGAGAUGGGAAGUACAGUGCCUGCACUCUGAAGGAGGGGUGUUAAUGUUGCAGUUUAAAAACUGUAGUGUAAAGCACCCUUCUGGCAAGACAGUGAUGGAGUGAAUGAUAGUGAAAGUUUUUCUUUUUCGGGCCACCCUGCCUUGGUGGGAAUCGGCCAGUGUGAUAAUAAAAAAUAAUAACAGUGGACCCUCACCUAACGAACGCAUCGCAUAACGUUAAAACCGCCUAGCCGAGGCAAAAAUUUUGCCUCGGCGCUAAAAAACUCGCCCAACAUGAUUCAUUCCGUUUGAGACCCGUCCACGUGUGGCCUGAGUGCGCCUCACUUGUCCCGUGGGUGCCACUGUUUACAAGUCAGCCACCGCAGUCGCAUCCAAACAUACAAUCGGAACAUUUCAUAUUAUCACAGCGUUUUUAGUGAUUGCACCUGCAAAAUAAGUCACCAUGGGCCCCAAGAAAGCUUCUAGUGUCAACCCUGUGAUAAAAAGGGUGAGAAUUAGUAUGGAAAUUAAGAAAGAUUUUGAAGGGUUUGGGGCUAACCCUGAGAUGCCUAUGCCAGUUGUGGAAUCCAUUGUGCCUACUUCAAAGAUUAAGGAAAUGUGUGCAAAGUGGGUUGAACUGCAAACCUUUAUGGAUGAAAAUCGCCCUAACACAGCUAUUGCAAGCUGUGCUGGUGACUAUUACAAUGACAAUGUUAUGGCCCAUUUUAGACAAAUCUUAAAGGAACGGGAGGUACAGAGCUCUAUGGACAGAUAUGCUGUGCGACAGAGGUCCAGUGACUCUCAAGCUGGUUCUGGUGGCAUUAAAAGAAGAAGGGAAGUAACCCCAGAAAAGGACUUGACACCUCAAGUCCUAAUGGAAGGGGAUUCCCCUUCUAAACAUUACCACCAUCCACACUCUCCCUUCCCAUCCCAUCAAUCAUCACCAAAUCUUCAAUAAAGGUAAGUGUCAUGUAAUUGUACAUGUCUUCUUCAGUUUGUGUGUAUUAAAAUUAAUAUUUCAUGUGGUAAAAUUUUUUUUUUUCACUUUGGGGUGUCAGGAACGGAUUAAUUUGAUUUCCAUUAUUUCUUAUGGGGAAAAUUAAUUCGGCUAACGAUAAUUUCGCCUAAUGUUGAGCUCUCAGGAAUGGAUUAAUAUCGUUAGGCGAGGGUCCACCGUAUUGUGUGCUUAAUUAAAAACAGUUUCAUUAUGUAUUAUGGAUUUAUGAAUUGUGCUUUUUUUUAACUUUAUCGUGAUUAGCUCUCAGUGUAUCAGACCACCGCUUUCCUUCAAAUUCAGAUUAUUCAUUACAAAUCAAAAGUCAAUAGUAUGCAGAUUAUUGGAGAGGCAGACAUUCAUCCUGGAACAUUUUUCUAGACUUUAAUGUUUAAUGCAAAACUGUCUUUCUAGACAGGUGACUGGAGAUGGGAAGUACAGUGUCUGCACUCUGAAGGUGGGGUGUUAAUGUUGCAGUUUUAUAACUCUAGUGUAAGCAUGCUUUUGGCAAGACAGUGAUGGAGUGAAUGAUGAAAGUUUUUCUUUUUUGAGUCACCCUUCCUUGGUGGGAAACGGCCAAUUUGUUCAUGAAAAAAUAAUUAAUAGUUUUAAUUUACUGGCUUUUGCUAUUUUUUUGUUUAUUUUUUAUGUCUCCUGACUUUCUUUACAUUUAAUAAAUAUACUACUACUACUACUGCUUAGCAAAAUAUAUAUACAUACAAUUUGGAUUGGGGAAAUAUUUUCUACACUAGAAGCCUGGGAAAGUCAACUUAGUUAACUAAAAUUGCCCCUCUUUUAACAGUCUAUUCCAGUUGGCUCUUACUAGUGUGGCAAUCCUUCAAGUAGGCCUUUCUUUGGAUUAUCUGAUAUUCCUGGAUUUCUCUUGUAGGACUUCAUGUCCUUUUAUAAUUUGGUCUGGAUCUUCUAAUUAAAUAUUGGCCAUGUCUUCUUCUGGUGGAACAUCCCCACUGGACUUUCCAUAGUUCAGUUCAGAAGGCACUCCAGCACUGAAUGACCCUUGUCAGUUUAGCACUUUCUUUGAUUAUAAUAAUAAUCAGAAUUCACUAAUUUAUUGUAUGCAAACUUCUCACUCACUUUUACUUUACUGUCCUUA